rnacentral:rRNA from 1 species
AGCUGUAAACCUAGCCCUCAAAAAACAACAACCCACAAAUCUCAACUAAAACAUUUAUAGUCUCUAGUAUAGGCGAUAAAAAAAGAAAUAGGCGCAACAGAUGAAGUACCGUAAGGGAAAGAUGAAAUAGUAUGAAACAACCACCAAAGCACUAAAAAGCAGAGAUUUAUCCUCGUACCUUUUGCAUCAUGGUCUAGCAAGAAACCUUAAGCAAAGCGCAUUAAAGUUUAACCCCCCGAAACUAGACGAGCUACUCCGAGGCAGCUAUAAGAGCAAACCCAUCUCUGUGGCAAAAGAGUGGGAAGACCCCCGA